UACAGAGGGUGCGAGCGUUAAUCGGAGUUACUGGGCGUAAAGGGCGCGUAGGUGGACAAUUAAGUUGGAUGUAAAAUUCCUGGGCUUAACCUGGGGAGGUCAUUCAAUACUGGUUAUCUAGAGUGCUGUAGAGGGUAGUGGAAUUUCCGGUGUAGCGGUGAAAUGCGUAGAGAUCGGAAGGAACAUCAGUGGCGAAGGCGGCUACCUGGACAGACACUGACACUGAGGCGCGAGAGCGUGGGGAGCGAACAGG
rnacentral:rRNA from 1 species